rnacentral:rRNA from 1 species
UACGAACUGUGCGAACGUUAUUCGGAAUCACUGGGCUUAAAGGGCGCGUAGGCGGGCACCCAAGUCUGUGGUGAAAUCCGGCAGCUUAACUGUCGAACUGCCGUGGAUACUGGGUGUCUCGAGGGAGGUAGGGGCGUGCGGAACUGAUGGUGGAGCGGUGAAAUGCGUUGAUAUCAUCAGGAACUCCGGUGGCGAAGGCGGCACGCUGGACCUCUUCUGACGCUGAGGCGCGAAAGCCAGGGGAGCGAACGGG